AUGUUGUUUUUCUGCAGGUCGGUGAUGCAGACCUGCAGAUCUGCUCUGUUAAUCCUGAUUUUACUGAUCAUCACUACACUCAUGACUGAUGCUCCUACAGUGACGGCGCCUCUCCAUGGCUCUGUGGUUCUGUCGUGUUCUGAGAGAUGUUCUGGAGUGGUGAGAUGGACGGUGUUUAGUAAACGUUCUGAUCCUCUAGCUGAGUGUGAUCAGACUUCCUGCAGAUCAGUGAAGGAGUGAUAUCAGAUGAUCUAUAAUCAAUACCUGCAGGGGAAUCUCUCUCUGAUCAUCAGUAAAGCUGAUUUCAGUAAGAGGGACUGGUACACAUGCGAGUGUGAUGGUAGAGAUGUCUGUGAUGUGCAUCUGCAGAUUAAGCGUAAGUGUUUGCUCGACUUUCUAGUGUGCAGUUUGAUUUAGGGAGUGUCAGUGUGUCUUUGCUGUCGUAAUGUUGGGAAAAGUACACCUUGCACGGCUAA
rnacentral:lncRNA from 1 species